rnacentral:snoRNA from 1 species
GACUCUAAGGAUGAUCAGAAAACUUUCGCCUUUCCUGAGAUGAUAUCGUGAAGAAAAUCUCUGGAGACCUGAGCUGAAGAGAC